rnacentral:rRNA from 1 species
UACGUAGGCAGCAAGCGUUGUUCGGAAUUACUGGGCGUAAAGAGUGUGUAGGCGGUGCACUAAGUCUGUCGUGAAAUCUCCCGGCUUAACUGGGAGGGUGCGGCGGAUACUGGUGUGCUCGAGGGUGGGAGAGGUAAGCGGAAUUCCUGGUGUAGCGGUGAAAUGCGUAGAUAUCAGGAGGAACACCUGUGGUGUAGACAGCUUACUGGACCAUUUCUGACGCUGAGACACGAAAGCGUGGGUAGCAAAC